AUUGAACGCUGGCGGCAGGCCUAACACAUGCAAGUCGAACAAGUGGCGGACGGGUGAGUAAUGUCUGGGAAACUGCCCGAUGGAGGGGGAUAACUACUGGAAACGGUAGCUAAUACCGCAUACCCUCGGAUGUGCCCAGAUGGGAUUAGCUAGUAGGUGGGGUAACGGCGCACAGAGGCGACGAUCCCUACCUGGUCUGAGAGGAUGACCAGCCACACUGAAACUGAGACACGGUCCAGACUCCUAUGUGAGGCAGCCGUGGGGAAUAUUGCACAAUGGGCGCAAGCCUGAUGAAGCCAUGCCGCGUGAAUGAAGAAGGCCGUCGGGUUGUAAAGUACUUUCAGCGAGGAGGAGUUACUCGCAGAAGAAGCACCGGCUAACUCCGUGCCAGCAGCCGCGGUAAUAC
rnacentral:rRNA from 1 species